rnacentral:rRNA from 1 species
GGAGUUAGCCGGUGCUUCUUCUGUGAGUGAUGUCCUUCCUGCCGGCUAUUAACCCGCAGGCCUUCUUCCUCACUGAAAGUGCUUUACAACCCGAAGGCCUUCUUCACACACGCGGCAUGGCUGGAUCAGGGUUGCCCCCAUUGUCCAAUAUUCCCCACUGCUGCCUCCCGUAGGAGUCUGGGCCGUGUCUCAGUCCCAGUGUGGCUGAUCAUCCUCUCAGACCAGCUACGGAUCGUCGCCUUGGUGAGCCGUUACCUCACCAACCAGCUAAUCCGACAUAGGCUCAUCCGAUAGCGCGAGGCCCGAAGGUCCCCCGCUUUCCCCCGUAGGGCGUAUUCGGUAUUAGCCUGGGUUUCCCCAGGUUAUCCCCCACUACCGGGCAGAUUCCUAUGCAUUACUCACCCGUCCGCCGCUCGCCACCAGGGAGCAAGCUCCCCGUGCUGCCGCUCGACUUGCAUGUGUUAGGCCUGCCGCCAGCGUUCAAUCUGAGCCAGGAUCAAACUCUGA